UAUUGGGCAAUGGACGAAAGUCUGACCCAGCCAUGCCGCGUGCAGGAUGACGGCCCUCUGGGUUGUAAACUGCUUUUAUUAGGGAAGAAACCCUUCUACGUGUAGAAGGCUGACGGUACCUAAAGAAUAAGGAUCGGCUAACUCCGUGCCAGCAGCCGCGGUAUUACGGAGGAUCCAAGCGUUGUCCGGAUUUAUUGGGUUUAAAGGGUGCGUAGGCGGACUUUUAAGUCAGGGGUGAAAGCCGGUAGCUUAACUAUCGAAUUGCCUUUGAAACUGAGAGUCUUGAGUUUUGUUGAGGUAGGCGGAAUGUAUCAUGUAGCGGUGAAAUGCAUAGAUAUGAUACAGAACACCAAUUGCGAAGGCAGCUUACUAAGCAAACACUGACGCUGAGGCACGAAAGCGUGGGGAUCAAACAGGA
rnacentral:rRNA from 1 species